CGGUAAUUCCAGCUCCAAUAGCGUAUACUAAAGUUGUUGCAGUUAAAAAGCUCGUAGUUGGAUUUCUGCGGGGACGGAGCGGCCGGACGCAACUUGCGUCUCGAGCUAGCGCUUUCCCCGCAUCCUGCCGCGAACCGUGCUACCAUUAGCUUGGUGGCGCCGGGGAUCGGCUCGAUUACUUUGAGAAAAAUAGAGUGUUCAAAGCAGGCCACACGCCUUGAAUAAGUUAGCAUGGAAUAAUGACUAAGGACUUCGGUUCUAUUUUGUUGGUGUUCGGGACUGAAGUAAUGACUGAUAGGGACAGUUGGGGCGGUCUGUAUUCCAAAGCGAGAGGUGAAAUUCUUAGACCUUCGGAAGACAAACAGCUGCGAAAGCGUUCCGCAAGGAUGUUCCCUUUGAUCAAGAACGAAAGUUGGGGGAUCGAAGACGAUCAGAUACCGUCGUAGUCUCAACUAUAAACUAUACCAGCUAGGGAUCGGUCAACGUUUAAUCAUUCGACUUGAUCGGCACCUUAUGAGAAAUCAAAGCAUCUGGGUUCCGGGGGGAGUAUGGUCGCAAGGCUGAAACUUAAAGGAAUUGACGGAAGGGCACCACCAGCCGUGGAGCCUGUGGCUUAAUUUGACUCAACACGGGAAAACUUACCAGGUCCAGACAUAGUAAGGAUUGACAGAUUGAUAGCUCUUUCUUGAUUCUGUGGGUGGUGGUGCAUGGCCGUUCUUAGUUGGUGGAGUGAUUUGUCUGGUUAAUUCCGUUAACGAACGAGACCCCAGCCUGCUAAAUAGCGCGGUUGAGCUUUGCUCGAUGCGAGCUUCUUAGAGGGACUAUGAUGCGCGAUAGCACAUGGAAGUUUGGGGCAAUAACAGGUCUGUGAUGCCCUUAGAUGUUCUGGGCCGCACACGGGCUACACUGGCGCCUGCAACGAGCAUAUCAGCUGGCCCGAGAGGGUCUUGGCUAAUCUUUUGAACCGGCGCCGUGCUUGGGAUUGACCAUUGCAAUUGUUGGUCAUGCAACGAGGAAUGCCUUGUAAACGCGAGUCAUCAGCUCGCAUUGAAUACGUCCCUGCCCUUUGUACACACCGCCCGUCGCUCCUACCGAUGAAUGUUCCGAUGAAAUUUUCGGAGAGCGCCAGAGAACGGGGCUCUGCCUUGCAGAUCUGGAGGCUCAAAGUCACUUAAAUCUGAACAUUUCGAGGAAGGAGAAGUCGUAACAAGGUUUCCGUAGGUGAACCUGCAGAAGGAUCA
rnacentral:rRNA from 1 species